UGUCUUCAGGGCAGGGUGAAAUUCCCGACCGGCGGUAUAGUCCGCGACCCACCGUUUUCGGUGGCUGAUUCGGUGCAAUUCCGAAACCGACAGUUACAGUCUGGAUGGAAGAAGACG
rnacentral:ncRNA from 1 species